UUUCAUGAAAGAUUAAAUUCAAAUGAAGAGCUAGUAAGAGUGAACAGGAAGACAUUUGAUACUCCAUUCCCACCCUCAGAAAGAAAACAGGCUGUACAUCAGCAAAGAAAGCAUGAAGAGGAGAAAGAACUGGAAAGCAAUGUGAAUCCUAUGGAGAAAGACAGAAGAGCAGCACGCGCUGGAGUGAAUGCUCAGAGAAAGAGCUAUAGCUGAACAGAGAGAAUCGUCAGUCUUCUCUGGAAUUAUUGGAGGCAAACCACCCAGAGUUUAUGUAUCUAUACUGUAGAGAUGAAGAAAUAGAUAAAGUGAUCUUUCCAAGGCUCACAGACACUGAUGAUUGACUCCACCUCAGAGAUCAGCUCAGUACACUGAGGCCCAUAUUGCUCAAUACAUGUUUGGUGCAAAUCCCCCCGAGACAUCUAAUCAUGUCAAAUUUAAACCGAGACUAUCACUACGGGACUAGUGCAACAUGAGGUCUGGGGAAAUGAAAGGACCUGAGGGAGUCCUCCCAUAUACAGUUCCAGUACUACACCUUGACCUUAAAAUGAAAAACUUACUUCCUCUCCAUUUAUCUAUCCAUCCCUGAAUUCCUGCCCCUCGCCUUUACUCAGCACCUAUUCUGUGCUGGGAA